UGGAAGUAAAAGUCGUAACAAGGUCUCCGUUGGUGAACCAGCGGAGGGAUCAUUACAGAGUUGCAAAACUCCCAAACCAUCGUGAACGUUACCUACAUCGUUGCUUCGGCGGGUGGCGGGCUUCGGCCCUGCCCUCGGCCCCUCUCGGGGGCCCGCCGGAGGUACACCAAACUCUUGAAUUUACAUGGCCUCUCUGAGUCUUCUGUACUGAAUAAGUCAAAACUUUCAACAACGGAUCUCUUGGUUCUGGCAUCGAUGAAGAACGCAGCGAAAUGCGAUAAGUAAUGUGAAUUGCAGAAUUCAGUGAAUCAUCGAAUCUUUGAACGCACAUUGCGCCCGCCAGUAUUCUGGCGGGCAUGCCUGUCCGAGCGUCAUUUCAACCAUCAAGCCCCCGGCUUGUGUUGGGGACCUGCGGCACACCCGCAGGCCCUGAAAACCAGUGGCGGGCUCGCUGUCCACACCGAGCGUAGUAGCAUAUCUUUGUCUCGCUCAGGGCGUGCGGCGGGUUCCGGCCGUGAAACCCACCUUCUCGAAGGUACCCAAAGGUUGACCUCGGAUCAGGUAGGAAGACCCGCUGAACUUAAGCAUAUCAAUAAGCGGAGG
rnacentral:rRNA from 1 species